rnacentral:rRNA from 1 species
GAUGAACGCUAGCGGCAGGCUUAAUACAUGCAAGUUGAGGGGCAGCAUGAUAUACGCGAGUAUAUUGAUGGCGACCGGCGGACGGGUGAGUAAUAGGUAGGAGACCUACCUCAUACAGGGGGAUAGCAUAGAGAAAUCUGUGGUAAUACCCCAUGAGGUUAUAUGAAUAGAGGCAUAUAAUCAAAGCAUAAGCGAUUAUGCGGUAUGAGAGGGGCCUACUGACCAUUAGCUAGUUGGUGAGGUAAGGGCUCACCAAGGCGAAGAUGGUUAGGGGUUUUGAGAGAGAGACCCCCCACAUUGGAACUGAGAGACGGUCCAGACUCCUACGGGAGGCAGCAGUACGGGAAUAUUGGGCAAUGGGCGAAAGCCUGACCCAGCCAUGCCGCGUGAAGGAAGACGGCCUUAUGGGUUGUAAACUUCUUUACUACGCGAAUAGAGGUUAGUACGAGAUACUAAUAGGAAGGUAGUGUAGUAAAAAGCACCGGCUAACUCCGUAG